rnacentral:rRNA from 1 species
UACGGAGGAUCCAAGCGUUAUCCGGAUUUAUUGGGUUUAAAGGGUGCGUAGGCGGACUGUCAAGUCAGCGGUGAAAGUUCUCGGCUCAACCGAGGAAUUGCCGUUGAAACUGGUAGUCUUGAGUGUAGAUGAGGUGGGCGGAAUUCGUAGUGUAGCGGUGAAAUGCUUAGAUAUUACGAAGAACUCCAAUUGCGAAGGCAGCUCACUAGGCUACAACUGACGCUGAGGCACGAAGGUGCGGGGAUCAAACAGG